rnacentral:lncRNA from 1 species
CCUUCCUUACUGGGGCAUCCAUGAAAACACUCAACCAGGAGUGGUCGGGAAGCAUUUGUCCCUCUCUCCUCCUAGAUACAUCAGCUUCUGUAUCUGCACUAGUCUGGCUGUUUCUUAGUGUCAGGAUUGAUAACUUCACUGUGAAGAAUUCUCUUUUCUCAACUUAUCACAGGUUGAUGUCCAGUUCUUAUAUUAUUGGGUUUAUGUGUCAACUGCAUAGAGCUGUGAUCCUGUUGUUUUCUCACUUUUCUCUUCCCAAUCAGUCGAACAAACACAAGGGAGGGACUGUUGGAAGGGUGACUCCUGAGUGCACUGGUUUUUAGAGUGGUGGGAGGAAUUUUGGAUUAGAAGAAAGGACAGAGAGAAAGUGCUGAAAGGAAGCAAGAACAUUUUGGGCCAAAGGUACAAGGCAAUAUAAUGAGUAGUGUACAUGUACAUGUGUGCAUGUAUGUGAACAUGUGCACGCACACACACACACACACACACACUUCCAUACUCUAUUAUUAGUGUCACUGUGCCUCUAUGCUGACAUAAAUAAUUUAAAAGUUGCCUCCAUAAUCUGGCUAGCACACAUCAGAAGAACCUUAGGGAAUCCUUCCUCUAGCAACAAUUGUUAAACUUCAAAAUUGCUAAAGAAGUAAAAUCUUCUCUGACAUACUUAAACAUACGUUUUCACUCUGAUAGUUGAAUUGUCCUCUUGUAUAAAGUGGUGCAAUGAUGACUUCUUAAACUCUCACUGCUACAUCUUUGAUUCUGGGAUCACUUAGAACUAAAGGGAAAUUCCUAUAUCAAGCCAGAGUUAAAAAUUAAUUAUAAUUACCCCAUAGCCGAAGUCACAUGCACCUGGUAUCCAUCUGAUUCCUUCUUAUCCAUUAGUCAAUCACACACAUGCCUUUUCUGAAUGACAUGCUGCCCUCAGUAGAAAUAAAAAAGAUUGUUUCAAAGCUGCCCAUUGGCAUGUCAUGCACUAAAACAAACCCUUGUUAAGUUAUAUAAAGGGUAGAAUUUUAAUUGCAGAUUCAGGGGUAAAGUUCUCAUUACUAACUCUGCCCCUUGUCUGCGUGUGCGUUGGCCUAGGAGGAAAGAUGAAAAGAUCUAAACAGAGGUGAUUAAGAAGGGUAUAGGGAAUGAUGCAAGAACUUACAAAUAUUUGAGAGCUACAAAAAUAGGAAGGGUUUUGAGCACAGAUAAUUGUGUAUUUAAAAUUUAGAAGAACCUCAGAGACCAUUGUCAAAGUUACAAGAGGUUAAAAUUAAUAAUAAUGACAAAGUUCUAAAAUUGUAGCUUCCUAGCUGUAACAUAAGCUUAAUUUCCUUUUUUUCAUAAGCCUAAUUUCCUAGUUAAACUUAUUUCAUGUUUCUUUAUUUAGUUCAGCUUUUUUUUUUUCAGUUCAGCUUUUAAAACUCCCAAAGCAACAUUUUAUAUCCAGUCUUUACAUGUAGGAAUAAAAUACUCAUAGCAACAUUUUAAGAAUAUCUUCUUUUCUGUGAGUUUCUAUGGCAUCAUGAACAAGUUUACUUUUCCAUUUAAAUAUCUUAUAUUUACAAAGGUCUUCAAAGUGCAUUAAUAUUCUGAUUUAAGCAGUAAAAUCAU